rnacentral:rRNA from 1 species
UACGGAGGGUGCGAGCGUUAAUCGGAAUUACUGGGCGUAAAGCGCGCGUAGGUGGUCGCGUAAGUCGGAUGUGAAAGCCCCGGGCUUAACCUGGGAACUGCAUUCGAUACUGCGCGACUAGAGUAUGGUAGAGGAAAGCGGAAUUCCCAGUGUAGCGGUGAAAUGCGUAGAUAUCGGGAGGAACACCAGUGGCGAAGGCGGCUUUCUGGACCAAUACUGACGCUGAGGCGCGAAAGCGUGGGUAGCAAACAGG